CAGCAGCCGCGGUAAUACGAAGGGUGCAAGCGUUAAUCGGAAUUACUGGGCGUAAAGCGUGCGUAGGCGGUUUGUUAAGUCUGCUGUGAAAUCCCCGGGCUCAACCUGGGAAUGGCAGUGGAUACUGGCUCGCUAGAGUGUGUCAGAGGAUGGUGGAAUUCCCGGUGUAGCGGUGAAAUGCGUAGAGAUCGGGAGGAACAUCAGUGGCGAAGGCGGCCAUCUGGGACAACACUGACGCUGAGGCACGAAAGCGUGGGGAGCAAACAGGAUUAGAUACCCCCGUAGUCCCUGUCUCUUAUAU
rnacentral:rRNA from 1 species